CUCUUUAAUCAUAUCCAAAGUGCAAGUCAAAGAAUUGCUUUGGUACGAUAAUAAAUUGAAACACACAGCUGAAUAAACAGAGAAAGCAAAACACAAGAUUGUUGCCAGAUGGAUGGUUUUAGUUGUAGGCAUCAGGAUUGGCCACAAGGUAGUUCUCAAUAAGCUUGAACAGAUCAUGGGCCUUGUCUUUUCCAACCUUAACAUGUUCUUCUUUGAUCUCAACAUCUCCCUUAGUGUGGUAGUGGCUGGUGUUCUUGAUGAUGGAACCACUGCCAGAUGCCACCAACUUAAUUUCAUAAGAGAUCUUCUCAAUUUUGUCAGAAAUGGCAUCCCCUUCAAUCAAGCUAUAGCUAUAGUCAAAGUUAUCUUUGUCAAUUCCCUCAACCUUGUGCUUCACAUAGCUGUAUUCACUCCCUGUCAAAUGAAAAUGAAAUAGAAAUUAAGAUACUAGCUAGUAUUUUCAAUAUGUGUGUGUGUGUGUGUGUGUGUGUGUGUGUGUGUGUGUGUGUCUACAUACAAGAAGCUUUUAUGGGAAGGGAUCUCCAUUUUUUUUUUAUAAAAAUGGGGAUUAGUUGUGGAGUCUAUCCGACAUCGAAUUUUAAGGAUCCAAACCGUCUAUAUUGCAAGUAGCACCUUAUAGAUCAUUCUUGCAAAAUAUUAGCCAAAUCGGAAAUAUUUAAGACAUCUAAUUGAGUUCAAAAAAAUUAAUGAAUACUUUAUUAUAUAAGAAACAAUGAUAUAUAUAUAUAUAUAUAUAUAUAUAUAUAUAUAUAUAUAUAUAUUAAAUAGGUAAAAUUAACAAAUUAAUGAAUAAAACUGUGGAAAUUAAGCUAACCUUCACCAAAGCUAACUUUCUUGAUGGUUCCAACACUGCCAUCUCCCUCGAGAAUUUCAACAGUUUUGACUGCUUGUGGAGCAAUCUUCGGGAGGAGGUUGUCAGCAUCAAGAACAAGGGCAUAAUACAACCUAGCAGGAGGGAUGACUGAGACAUAUUCGGUUUCGUAUGUGAGGACACCCAUGAUGAUUUUUAAGGGCUUAGGAAAUGAUCAAGGAAAUUAAUGAAAAGAGGAAGCUAGGAGGAUGAUCGAUGUUGAGGUAAGAUAAUGUUCUCUCCAGAGGGUGGUAUUUAUAGAUUUGGUAUGGAGGGUAUAUGUGUAAACUAACCGGCCCCUUAUGUAUAAUUUCAAAUGCAUGCAUAAAAAUAAAAACAAAGAAAAAUCAAUGCAUAAAUAUUUUAGUCAAAGAAAGCCACCAAUAGAAACGUAAUAUAAGUUUUUUUUUUUGUCAAAUGGCAAACUUUAUUAAAUUCUAAUAUGAAUGUUUACAUCUUCAGCAAAAACAUUAAAUAAAAAUUCCGGACCAAUAGCAUCCCAACGGAAGGCACCUCCAAGUGAGGCAACGUAUGAGGCGACAACAUGAGCAGCGACAUUUCCAUUCCACUUGACAAACCUAAACCUCACCCCUCGAAAUUGAGACUUUUUUUAAUUUUUAAUGCAUAUCAACAAAAAAAUACAAAAACAUUAUUCUCUCACUUUGUUUCCAAAAAUGAAAAUAUUUACUGAUGGAAAAAAAAUAUGAUACCCUAAGAAAAGAGAGUACUUGUAUUCUUUGAUAGAAUAAAGAGUAUUGUUCAACUAACACGGUACUAAUGAGGUUAUUGAAUGUAAUUGUUUAUCACACUAUCAUGUUGAUUGUUACGAUAUAAAUGUUUUGUUAGAGGAUAGAUGUAAUUAGUGGACGUCAUGAAAUUCUUCAUUAUUGUAUUCAUUUUUUGGGCCUUUACAUUUUAAUGGUAUUGUAAUAACGUUAAAAUUCAACUUUUGAGCUCCUUAAUACUGUAACAAUGAUAAUUUUACGUUGUGGUCAUCAUUUUACACUAUUGAAGUAUAAUAUUAUACAUGAACGUGCUUACAUUACAAAAAUAUCGUUCAAACAUAGCUAGUGAUAGAGCCACAUAGAGCCUAGGAUUGGCCAGGCUUACCUUGGAUAUAUGUUUAAUUAUCUGCAAAUGGUUCAAAAACUAGCGGUGCCCCAUUUGUCGGUUGUGUUUUGCACUUCCAAAAGGCCACGGUUCGAGACUUUUCGGCAUGCUAAACACUUCUAGAUUUUUUUUUUAACUAAAAGGGAAAAAAAAACCCUUAUAAGUUAUCUUAUUUUUUACCAUAUUAAAGCUAACCCCUAUUUUUUGUUAUAAUUGGCCUUAUGUUUUAGCUAUAAAAACCACGUAGUUGAGACCAAUGUCUUAUUUUAAGUUAUAACCUUAAAUUUAGUUUGAAUUUAAUGUGUUAGUUUUUUUAUAUCAAAACAAGUGUAGGUAAUCAUUUCAAAACUAAGAUUUUCAUACAAAAUUAAGGCUCCGCCAUUCAUGUUUGAUUGAAAAAUUUCAUGCCAAAACAAAACACAAAAACUUUAAUUUUCCUCUCAUUAGUUGUAUUGUAAUUAAUAUUUCUAGUUUUUUUUGUAGGGCUUCAAGGGCCCUUCCUAGUCUGAUUUUUUGACUCUGCCACUGAUCAUAGCUAUGAAUACCCUUUGUUUUUUAAAAGGUGUAGACUAUUGAGUGUACAAUUUUUGUAUAUAAGAAAAAAAGGUUCAUCCAUGUAAAAAUGUGUUAGCUAUAUAAAAUAUAUAGAAAACUUGAAUGAACACUCAUUAUAUGCUUGUAAUCAAAUUUUUUUAUAUGUUCUAGUAUUUUAUACUAUACAUAUCAUCUAUUUUAAAAUUUAUGUUUCCAAUAUAAUUAUAUAUUUUUUAGAAUAAGAAAAUAUUUAUUAUAUGUUUUAUAAUAAAAGGUAAGUAAAACUAAAAGCAGACCUCCUAGACGCUUAUACUGGUCGUAAGCUCUGACUGGUCGGCUGACUUGGACCUUUUAGAACGUUGGUGUAUAAGAAUAUUAUUAUUUUUUAAUCAUAUAAAGUAGAUAAUAUUAUAUAUUUUUUCUCAUUAUCCGGUAUCUUUUAUGUCAGACCUAGAAAACCCAUGUUUGGAUGAUUAUGUACGUUGAACGUGGACGGAUUUUUAGGACAAUCAGCUUUUUGGACGUAUCAAGACAAAUAUUGGUGCCAAUUUGCACGAUCAGAUUGGGUUAGAAGGUAGUUUGUUGAACGUGGGCGGAUUUUGAGGACAAUCAGCUUGUUGGAUGUAUCAAGACAAAUUUUGUUACUAAUUGCAUGAUCAGAUUGAUUAAACGGAUAUGACUUGAAAAAUUAAUUCCUACUUAUUCAUGCGGCCCGAAUACAAAAUGAUCCACGUCUUUCGCAUAUUAACUGUACUUAAUCAUUUCUAUUGUCAAUAAAAAAAACGUUCCUCUUGAAAAGCUGUUUUUUUUCAAAUUUAUUAUUAUUUAAGGGGAGCGGGGAGGGGGAGAAAGAAUAAGACAGUUUGAAACCAUUACAAUAGUUUUAAGAAGAGAAGUUUUGAAUCUAGGACGUAUAGGUGGAAAAUAGGGCUAGAAAAAAAUCCCGAAAAUUCCAAAAUGUACCAAAAAAAUCCCGAUCCCGAACCAUUCGAUAUGGAAAUUGGUCUCACCAUUGUAAGAGUUUGGUAAUCCCAAACUGAACGGAAACCUUAAUAUAUAUAUAUAUAUAUAUACAUAUAAUAUUCUUUUUGUUAUGACAAUUACUUAUUGGUGCUUUUGUUUUAGUUAAAGCGGCUUAAGACUGUCUUUCAGCUUCAUGCCACUAAAACAAACAAGCUAACUAAAACCUAUAUAUCUUUCACCAUCAUUUUUCAGUUUGCGUCCACGAGCACUACAAAAUAAAAGCUCAUCUACCACGAUAAUUUUAUCACGGGCUUUAUGUGUCCGUUAUAAAAAGUACAAAUUUAUGACGGGCAUAAGAAGCACGUGAUAAAUAACAAUUUUAUAUCACAGACAAAUUUAGUCUGUUGUAAAAUAGCAGUGAAUGACGAUGCGCAAAGUUGUACGUUGUAAAUUUACUAAGCCACCAUGAAUAAUGCUCAUGAUCAAUAUUGUCUGUAUCCAUAGCGCCUUUUUGUUAUCUACCACGGGAAAAAUGUGUAGUAUUGUACAUGCUUAAUUGAAAAUUUUGGAGGAGGCUGGACACCAAAAUUUUGCAAAAUUUCAAACUAUGUAAUUAUCUGUAUUAUUUAAGAAAAUAAAAACUGAAACAAUAAUCGUUUAGAACCAGAUAAACACCACACCACAUCCAUCGUGCAAAACUAGACCAGUAAAAGAAAUCGAAGUAGUUUUCUAAACGUAUGUCUAUGAAGUGCAAUUAAAUUCUGAAACCCACUAUCCACUUCUCCCACGACAGUUUCCUCCACAAAGGAAAAGCUAUGUUGUUUAUUCGAUCCUCUCAUGUACUUUUUUUAUUGCAAUUUUAGUUUAUCUGGUUUAUUUUUAUUUAUCGAUUAGAUUCCUCCAUUAAUUUGGUAUUAAAUUCUGCAAUUGUUUUGUUGUUUUGGGUUCACUGUAUUUCUGACUCUCCAUUAUGUUUAUUAGGGGUUUUGAUAAAGCUAGAUUUCUUGUUUCAUCGACUUUGGGGUAGAAUUGUACAAUGGCUGGCCAGUCCAAGAGUGAAUCCACCUACGAUUUCACUGGCAAGGUUGGUUUUUGACAAAAAAUUAUUAUUUUCCUUUUCCAUCUACUCUACAAUUUGAAGUUUUGGUAAAUUAUUUUUUAACAUUAACAAUCGAACGCUCUCAUAUUUUGUUUUUAGGUUUACUGGGUUGUAUCAGCAAAAUCUUCCAUCUAUUUACUCCUCCUUUGUUAAAUGAAUCUCUAUAAUGGACAAGGAUUGUCUACCCUCCUAAUUGUGGUGCCCUUCCAUGCCCUCCUAUUUUGUGCGGUCACGGUUAAGCCAUGUCAAUAUUUUAUAUUAAUUUUUUAAUGAGAUAAUAAGACAAAAAAUAAUAAAAAUAUAAAAUAUUAAUGUGGCUUAACCGUGGCAGCACAAAAUAGGAGGGCAUGGAAGGACACCACAACUAGGAGGGCAGACAAUCCUUGUCCCUCUAUAAUUUAGGUUUGAUUUUUAUGCUUCAGGAUUCGUAGUUUACAAUAUAUUCUUUUAAAUUUCUAGGUUAAGUAUUGGCUGAUAAUGCUUUCUCCGAUUGAGUUGGCUGGCGCAGAGACCAAAUUGGAGCGGUCCUCCUUGUGGAGGAAUCUGCUAGAAUUCUUUUUGCGCAAAUUUUCUUUCUUUAGUCCUUUUAUUUUAUUUUAAUUAAUUAUCUUUGCUUUCUUAAAUAUUUUGUGUUGCUCAGUUUCAAUAGUUAGUGGAUUUUUUCCCAUUUAAUAAGCUUGCUCGCAUUAAAAUUAAUGGGAUAUAUAGUUAAUAUGUAAUUGGGUUUUUUAAUUAUUAUUUUAUUUUUAUAUUAGUGUAAUCGAUGAGUAGAUUGAAUUUGUAUAUGAUGCUCUUCAUAGAUGAGUUUUCUUUCAAACCUUUAUAUAUGAAUAAACUUUAUGAUAUUAGAUUUAUUGAUGUUCCAGUAAUUGGAUGGGACUGUUUAAAACUAUCAGUUUUGUUAUGCUUCAUUUUUAUUAGAUAAAUUAGAUUUUCUUUUGAUCCAUGUGCUUAUGUCUAUACAGAUAAAGAGAGCAAUUAGUGAGGUUCAAGCAUUAGGAGCAAUAUUUCACUUUCAAAGGACUUCAUUUGGAGGUGUCUAAAGAAAAGUGAAGUAUUUCAAGUGACAAUUUCCUUGUUUUUAAAGGCAUAUUUGGUAAUUCAUGUGCAGUUUAAAUCACGGGUGGCGUUGUUAGCCUUGCACCUCUUGUAAUACAAUUUGGUAUUCUUGGUAUAAAUCAUUGGUGGUGUUGUUAGCUUUGUACAUCUUGUGAUACGUUUUGACUAUAUGAUUAUUCAUGAAAUAUUGUAUUAUAGUAAAUGUGCAAUUUUGUUGUUUCUUUAUAUAUUUUUAAUUAAUUUUUAUUUAUUUUAGAAAACAUUUUAUAACAGGCAUUGAUCAUGGUCAAUUAGUAAUCCACAACGGUCGUAACGCAUGGUGUUUAACUCUAAUCCAUCAGGGGCACUGUCCGUGAUUAUUAUGUAAUUAACAACGUACUUUGUCUAUGGUAAAAGUUAUGACUUUUUAUCACGUCUAGAUACUUAACGGGUAUAUUGUCCAUGGUGAAUUGCAAUUUACCACGGGCUUUCACCGUGAAAGAUGUGGGUUUGUCUUCCAGUGGAGCCAUGUGUCCUCAAUAAAACAAAGAAUAUAUUACACAUCUUUCGUCCUAAUAAGUAGGUAGUAGGAUUUGAAUGCCAAUGCUUUCAAGAUGGAAAGGAAAGUGGUCACUACUCCUGUUGUUUAUCAGUCUACAGAUUUUAGGGUUAUUGAUUAAUACUAUGUUGUUUAUCAGUCUCCUAUUCAUUGUUAUUCACCCCCUACAAUGACUGCCAUCUUUACAGAAUUGAUAAGCCCAUUGUUUGUCAUUAUAAACCCCACUUUAAUAUUCAGUUCAAAAUUCAAAUAAAUUAAAAAAUCCCAACAAUUUGGGCUUGAAGGCCCAAUCCAGAACUAACCCGAAAUCCCCCACCCCAAAAAUUAGGAAUUCUGAAACUUCGGUUUGAUUUCGGAUUUUAGAAUCAUGUCCCGAAAAUUAUUGAUUGGGAUUUGGUUCGAAAUUCCUACCCGAACCGGCCCUAGUGAAACCCAAUAUUUUAUCUACUAUAAUAUUGGACAAUACUAUUAAAAAGCUGUUCUAUAUAAACACUCUUUCAAGUGAUCAUGCACUCUUUGAAUUAAAAAUUUUCCCUUUUAUAAAUUUUUUAGAUUGUCAAUGUUGAUUCCCUUUUAUAUCAAUUUAGAUUUUCCUUGUUAUUUUUUGAAUGUAUUUGUUGAUUUGCCCCAUAAAUUUGUAUAGAGGUGUCAAUUUCUCUCAUAAACUUUAAUUUUAGCCGAUUACUCCCCUGAAUUUUUAUAAUUAGCCAAUUUCCCACAUGAACUUUAACUUUAGCCGAUUAACCCCCUAAAAUAUUAUAUAGUAAAUUACACAAAACUAUCUCAACUAUAGAUCAAACCACAAUCUCAUACCUUAUGGUUUAAAAAUUGGGAGUUUUAAAGAAAAGCCCACGGUAUUGUUUACUUUAACGAAAAACUACAUUUUUAUACUAAAAAGUCAAACAUGGUAUUAUUCACUUUAUCCUUUAUUUUGUCCUUAUCAUUAAAAAUCAAAGUUUUCAAGCCAUUUUCAUUAGUUUUCCUUUAAAAAUUACAAUGUCAUACCUCAUCUUACGAAUUUGUUGCAAUGUUAGACCUCCGUCAAUUUUUCUGUCAAUUUUUUUAUUAAAUGUUGACGUGACUUACAUAACCCACUCCCUACCUGACCAAAUUAAAAAAUUAAUUAAAUAUUAAAAUUAAGAAUUAAAAGGCGUGGGAUCCACCCCCACAAACCCAUCAUUCUUCCCCAUUACACCGACGACAUCCCAUCUCCAGGCACCCAACCUCACCACCCUGCUUCCCCAGUACGCCCACCGUCCUCCUCCUCAAACCCCCAGAACAGCAGCAACCACCACGUCGUCAUGCUCAUCCUCCUCGGCUUCCUUCAAGGGCUGCUGCUGCCGUCUCUUCUUACUCUUCUCCUUCCUAGCACUCCUCGUCCUCGCCGUCGUGCUCGUCAUCAUACCUCCGCCUCAGUCUCUCUCUCUCUCAGCAGUCACGUGCUCUUCUCAACCGCUAACCCCAACAAGGUUGGGAUCAAGUACGACGAGUCCAGGUUCACUGUCAUGUACCUUGAGAUUUCAUGGGCAAGGCCUCCAUCCCCGGCUUCUACCAGGACGCCGACACUAUCGGCCAAGUCAUCGCCACCAUCGCCAUCAAUCGAGUCAAUUUUCUGACGCUGCUAAUUUAGUCUGCGACGCUUCCUUCAAUGUGUUUCCUGCAUCAAAACCCACUUCCCAAUUUUUCUUUGAAUUCUGUUCGGCUACUAAGAAAAUCACAGAAACCCACUAUCUUCGGUGGGGGAGAGUUCUUGGAGCUUUGGUUCUUCCAGAAGAGGAAGGGUUGAUGUGGAGGUGGAAAGAAGGGGAGGAGAGCAACGGAGGGAGGGGGAGUCGAAGGUGUGGCGGAGGAGGUUGAGGUGGAGGCAGGUGGUGAGGUUGGGUACCGGAGAUGGGAUGUCUUCGAUGUACCGGGGAAGAAGGAUGGGUUUGUAGGGGUAGGUCCCACGUUUUUUAAAAUAAAAAUUUAAAUGAUUUAAUUUUUUUAAUUUUUAAUAUUUAAUUAAUAUUAUGUAUCCCUUUCUAGCAUUUCUCCUAGAGUUUUACAUGUCAAAUGGUGAGUGAAAAAAAUAUACAGAAAAGAUAACUAGCAUUUCUCUUAUUUCCAACAAGUCACGCACCAUUUACUUGAUCAAAGCAUAAUCACAUAGAGACUACUGCAGGGUUAGUCUAAGACCUUUUGAACAAGGAAGCAAAUCCAUGCCCGUACCAUCAAGUACGAGUUCUGUCUUAUAGGACCAAUUGGAAGGGCUUUUUCAACCAUGUAUGCAAAGUGUGGGAAUUUGCAAGCAGAAUGCUUAUGAAGUAGAAUCCCAUUGUUCAUAAGCAUUCUCAAUUUCUCAGGGAAAAAGAAGAUGAAGAUGGUGAUGUUUUUUAAUAUUUUAUUUAUUUAUUUAUUUAUUUUUCUAUAAAGUAAUAAAUAUUUUCAUUAUUAUUGAAGCAUUAGUUAUGAGGGUAAAGUUGUCAAUUUAUUAGCAAAAUGUUGACUGAAGGGGCUAUGUACAAGUGAAUUAAAAUAUAAGAGGGUGUUAAUGUAAUGUUUCAAACGUGAGGAGAUUUUAUGAAAACUUGUUAAACUUCUAGAGGUGUUAUUGUAAUUAACCCAACCAUUGCAACAUAUUUAUCACGUCUAUUUUUCGAAAUUUCCUGUGUGCUUCUCUCUUUGUCACUUUCAACAUGAAUUUUCAAUAUAAUUGAAAAACCACAUCGUAUAUUAGUUUAGUUAUGUUAUACCAAGUAUAUCGUCGUCCAAAAUUAAACUUUUUAUCUUUUCUUCUCAAUCAUUUGACCAAACUUCUUGUUCUGAACAAGUAGAGCUCAAGUUUACAUAGGAGAACACGUCUGCACAUUUGUUAAUUUAAGGGGGCCUUUAUUCAACGAAUUUUGAGGUGAAAUUUAUGAAAUUGGAAGGGAAAAAUAAUACUCCAAGGUAAAUAUCAUCAAAUAAUUUACAUUUAACUAGUAUAUAUAUGUUUUAUUUAUUGAGAUUAAAAUCAAAUACAACAAUCCUUUUUAAUCAUAUCCAAAGUGCAAGUCAAAGAAUUGCUUUGGUACGAUAAUAAAUUGAACCACACAACUGAGUAAACAGAGAAAGCAAAACACAAGAUUGUUGCCAGAUGGAUGGUCUUAGUUGUAGGCAUCAGGAUUGGCCACAAGGUAGUUCUCAAUAAGCUUGAACAGACCAUGGGCCUUGUCUUUUCCAACCUUAACAUGUUCUUCUUUGAUCUCAACAUCUCCCUUAGUGUGGUAGUGGCUGGUGUUCUUGAUGAUGGAACCACUGCCAGAUGCCACCAACUUAAUUUCAUAAGAGAUCUUCUCAAUUUUGUCAGAAAUGGCAUCCCCUUCAAUCAAGCUAUAGCUAUAGUCAAAGUUAUCUUUGUCAAUUCCCUCAACCUUGUGCUUCACAUAGCUGUAUUCACUCCCUGUCAAAUGAAAAUGAAAUAGAAAUUAAGAUGUUAGCUAGUAUUUUCGAUAUAUAUGUGUGUGUGUGUGUGUGUGUUAAAUAGGUAAAAUUAACAAGUUAAUGAAUAAAACUGUGGAAAUUAAACUAACCUUCACCAAAGCUAACUUUCUUGAUGGUUCCAACACCGCCAUCUCCCUCGAGAAUUUCAACAGUUUUGACUGCUUGUGGAGCAAUCUUCGGAAUGAGAUUGUCAGCAUCAAGAACAAGGGCAUUGUACAACCUAGCAGGGGGGAUGACUGAGGCAUAUUCGGUUUCGUAUGUGAGGACACCCAUGAUGAUUUUUAAGGGCUUGGAAAAUGAUCAAGGAAAUUAAUGAAAGGAGGAUGCUAGGAGGAUGAUCGAUGUUGAGGUGAGAAAAUGUUCUCUCCAUAGGGUGGUAUUUAUAGAUUUGGUAUGGAGGGUAUAUGUGUAAAGUAACCCCGCUCCUUAUGUAUAAUUUCAAAUGCAUGCAUAAAAAUAAAAACAAAGAAAAAUCAAUGUAUAAAUGUAUUAGUCAAAGAAAGCCACCAAUAGAAACUUAAUACAAAUUUAUUAUAUGAAGAUAUUAUUGAAGGUGUAACAUUAUCUUCGACAUAAAAGAAAAGACAAUCUUACAAUGUCGGUGGGCUGUUUGAUGAUGAGAUGCUUACAAACCAUAAUUUGGAUAAUGGCACAGGUGGCGAGGAUGACACAGGAGAAAUAUCAUGAUCAGUACGUAUAGUAUAAGGUAUAACAUACAAGAACUUGGUCUCUGAAGGCUAAUUAGGUGUAACUUUUUUUUUUAAUUUUUAAUGCAUAUCAACAAAAAAAAAAUACUUGAACAUUAUUCUCUCACUUUGUUGAUACCCUAAGAAAAGAAAGUACUUGUAUUCCUUGAUUGAAUAAAGAUUAUUGUUCAACUAACACAGUACUAAUGAGGUUAUUUAAUGUAAAUUUUUAUCACACUAUCAUGUUGAUUGUUACGCUAUAAAUGUUUUGUUAGAGGAUAGAUGUAAUUAGUGGACGUCAUGAAAUUCUUCAUUAUUGUAUUCACUUUUUUUGAGCUCCUUACUUUUACAUUUUAAUGAUGUUAUAAUGAUGUUAAAAUUCAACUUUUAGGCUCCUUAAUACUGUAACAAUGAUGAUUUUACGUUGUGCUUGUCAUUUUACACUAUCGAAGUAUAAUAUUAUACAUGAACGUGCUUGCAUUACAAAAAUAUCGUUCAAAGGGAUCUUGUUUGAUUUCUGGCUCCGCUACUGAUCAUAGCUAUGAAUACCCUUUUUUUUUUUGAAAGGUGUCGUAGACUAUUGAGUGUACAAUUUUUUGUAUUUAUGAAAAAAAGAUUCAUCCAUGUAAAAAUGUGUUAGCUAUGUAAAAUAUAUAGAAAACUUGGAUGAACACUCAUUAUAUACUUGUAACCAAACUUUUUUGUAUGUUCUAGUAUUUUAUACUAUACAUAUCAUCUAUUUUGAAAUUUAUGUUUCCAAUAUAAUUAUAUAUUUUUUAGUAUAAGUAAAUAUUUAUUGUAUGUUUUAUAAUAAAAUUAAAUAAAACUAAAAACAGACCUCCUAGACGGCUAUGCUAGUCGUAAGCUCUUACUCGUCGGCUGAUUUGCACGUUUUAGAACGUUGGUAUAUAAGGAUAUUAUUAUUUUUCAAUCAUAUAAAGUAGAAAAUAUUCUAUAUUUUUUCUCAUUAUCCGGUAUCUUUUAUGUCAGACCAAGAAAAAACAUGUUUGGAUGAUAUGUAUGGUGAACGUGGACGGAUUUUUAGGACAAUCGGCUUUUUGGACGUAUCAAGACAAAUUUUGGUACCAAUUUGCAUGAUCAGAUUGGUUUAGAUGGUAGUUUGUUGAACGUGGGCGGAUUUUGAGGACAAUCAGCUUGUUGGACGUAUCAAAACAAAUUUUGUUACUAAUUGCAUGAUCAGAUUGAUUAAACGGAUAAGACUUGAAAAAUUAAUUCCUACUUAUUCAUUUGGCCCGAAUACAAAAUGAUCCACGUCUUUUGCAUAUUAAACGUACAUAAUCAUUUCUAUUGUCAAUAAAAAAACGUCUCUAUUGAAAAGCUGUUUCUUUUUUUCAAAUUUAUUAUUAUUUAAGGGGAGCGGGAAGGGGGAGAAAGAAGAGGACAGUUUGAAACUAUUAGAAUAGUUUUGGGAAAGGGAGUUUCGAAUCUGGGACGUGUGGGUGGAAAAUAGGGCUAGAAAAAAAUUCCCGAAUAUCCCAAAAUGUACCCAAAAACUCCCGAUCCUGAGUUGAAAAAAUCUCGAACCAAAAAUCCUGAAAGUUUCAGUUCCACAACCCCAACCGAUCCUGAACCAUUCGGUACGGGAAUCAGUCUCACCAUUUUAAGAGUUUGGUAAUCCCAAACCAAAGCGAAACCUUAAUAUAUAUAAUAUUCUUUUUGUUAUGAUAAUUAAUUAUUGGUGCUUUUGUUUUAGGUAAAGCGGCUUAAGACUGUCUUUCAGCUUCAUGCCACUACAACAAACAAGCUAUCUAAAACCUAUAGGGGGUGUUUGUUUACUCUCAUUAAAGUGUACUGGACUGACAGGACUAAGGGUUAGUCCAGUCCCAUGUUUGUUCCCAACAUGGACUAGGUUUAAUGAGACUAAGUGUCACUCGCUCCGACAAAAACGCUUGCUAGGGGGUCUUAGCAAGACCCCCCGAAAAGGAGCGGACUGCUAGUCCCUGCUUCGCCCCAUCUUUGCUUCGCUUCACCCCUCCCCGCUUUGCCCCAUCUCUGCUUCGCUUCACCCUUCCCCGCUUUGAUGUCCUUCCCUUCCCAGAAAUCCUAAUUGAGCUUCGCCGUAUUUCCUCUCCCAGAAAAGUUAGAAAUGUUUAUCAGAGAGAUAAAAAGAGAGAACAAUGGAGUCUCCAUGACUUUGCUGACGAGAGGAGCAUCAAAAAUCGGGUACAAGAUUUCGGUUUAGUUGGGCAAACAUGGAACUUCGAUUGUCGUCAGGCAUUUAUGUAAAUUUCUCACUAUUAAAUUUAAUCCCCAUUUUUUUAACUGCAAUUUGCUCCAAUAUAUGACCAUCUGAGUAGUUGUUAGUAUCUUGUGUUUGUGUUCUUUGUUGUUGAUUUUGUUUUAUGGGUUUUAUUCGGUGAUGCUUGUUUUAUGAAUUUUGUUUUUUGUGUGCAAAAAACAUGUAUAAUAGAUUGUUGUAUUUGUUGCAGGCUAUCGGAUUUGAGGGCGAUAUGUGAAUUUUUGUAUAUAUUUUUUAUUAUUAGAAAAUUAUGAAUGCAACAAUGCUAGAAAUUGUAGGAUUUGAGGGCUUGGAUUUGUGAGUUGUCUUUGAAAUCUCAAAUUGUAGGAUUUUUUUGCUCAAUGAUUUCUGCAAUCAUGGUUUAGGGUUCUAGAGGCUUGGGUUUUGUUGGGUUUAGCUUUCAAUGAUUUUCCAUAAUCGAUUUUUGCAUGUUUUUUAAAGAGUUAAGGUUGAUGCAUUACUCAGGCAUGAGUUUGUUCUUAUGUAUGCUUGUUAUGAUGAGGUUCAGCCAAAGUCAUAGAAAGUCGUCGUAGGAAUGAAAAAGGAGACUGAGAAGAUCGGUGUGAUGAUAAUUUGGGCCAAGAUCAAAAGUUAGGUCAUUGAAAAGAAGAAAGGGAAGAAUAUAAGUACCACAAAGGAAGGACCAGAAUCCUAUAUGGAAAAAUAUUGAUACAAGAAGGGACGCAUUGAUGAACUAAUGGGUAACACCCAUUAUAAAAAAAGAGAGAUAAUGAUGUAAAUCAAAUAUGAUUCUCUUUCCAUCUUUGGCAUCCCUUAUGUGCAAUAAGAUUGCUCAUGUUAAGCAAUGUGAGACUUGUUUCUUUUUUUUUCUUGUGUGAGGUAUAUCCUAAUUAUGUUUCCAUUGAUUUGUUGUGUUUGUUUUUGCUAUUAGGUUUGUGUUGGUGUUUCUCUUGGAUGAGAUUUAAUUGAUAUAUGCAUUUGACUAGCUAUGUUGCAACUCUGCAUAAAAUCAUUUCUUGAUUUGCAGUUUCUCAUGGCUGCUGAAGUCUAUUUGAAUAGGAUAGUUGUAUGUGUAUUGCUGAGAGCGAAUCCCAGCACCUGAAUUAGUUUGCAUGAUUUGUUGAUGCCAUUUGAUGAUCAUAGUGAUGACUGGAUUUGGUUGGUGCAAACUUUUCACAGAAAGAGUUUGUAGUUUAAUUUUGUGCUGAAAUUUGCAGGUGAAACCACUAUUUGAAGAAUUGCCCAGGAUUGAUGGAACAUAUGGGUUGGUAUGUUUCAACUCAUUAAAAGUGUUUGCUGGUUAUUGUGCUAUUAAUUUAUAUAUAGAUAAAAAUCGCAGAAAAGCAUGCUCAAGGUGAGCAGUACGUUGUAAAUAAAGAGAGGUAGUCAACCAAGUGCUGAAUCCAUAUUUACAAUUACAUACCGGUUUAUUCUCCAGUCCCAGUCGCAUAAACAAAUGGUAAGGGUUCUUGCUAACAAAAAGAAGUAAAGAAAGCAGUGACUUGAUUCAUCAAGAAUUCUGCUUCUCUGUUAAAUCAGUUCCAAUUGAGCCAUAAGUAGUCAUCGGUGUUCCUAGUUCUUUUGGCGAUGCUUCUCCAAAAGACAUUGAUGUUCCAAGUUCUCUCAGAAGUGCUUCUUUAGUAGACAACAAUUUUCUAAGUUUAUUUGGGAGUGCUUCUUCAGAAGACAUCGGUUGAUCGGGUAUUGCUGCUUGAGAAGACAUUGACUUUCCAAAUUCUUUUUGCAGUGCUUCUUCAGAAAACACCAAAUUUCCUAGUUCUUUGGGUAGUUCUUCAGAAGACAUCGAUUGAUAGAGUAAUGCUGCUUGAGAAUACAUCGACUUUCUAAAUUCUUUUUGCAGAUGUCUUCUGUUUUUUACACUAAACUGGCAAUUUUUACAAUGUCUACUUGCAAGCAGGUGGUUUCACUGUGGACAUGCUCAAAGCUUUGUACACUUUGCUUUGUUGCUGGAAUUGUUGUUGGUUAUAAGCUGAAACGACGCAUCCGAAGUUGGGCUUCCAAACUUCUCAAGAAGAUCAGAGAUGAUUGAUUGCAACUGGAUCGCAUUUAUAAUGAUACAUUUAAAGUGUUGUUCUCCAUAGAAGAAUGAUUCUCCAACAAUAGUUGUUUUCUCUAGAGGGUGCAAUUUUGAUUAGCUUUCCGCGAUUAUAGUAACACUGCUUCUGACAAUUCUGACAUGAUCAACAUAUAUUGUUACCCUUCGUGUUUUAUUAUGUUAAUGAUAAAUUUUACAAGCUAACCAUCAACAGUGCCUCUGUUUCUGUACUUUGGAAUUGUUGCAUCUGCUGAUUUAGCCUCACUUGCAUGAUCAAUGUGAUUUAAGUCGGAUGAAUUCUGAAUAUCAAGUCGGAAGGGUAUUUCUUUUGCUUGUAUUGUCUGCCAUGAAUACUUGUUCAUACUCUCCAAGCUUAGGUUCUUGUCCUUUUCUUGUUUUUCCAUCGAAAUUUCAAUAUGUUGGGCGCAUAUUCGCUUGAAUUUUGUUUCGUCAUUGUAGAUUCUUAUUUUCGUCAUUGUCAAUACGACCAUGUCAUUUUUCUUCCCGUGUUUUACGGAAAGUUUGUAUUAAAUUGGAUAUGUAUGAAAAACAGUUGCAUUUACAUCUUUCUAAGCUACUAUCAUUAUACAUUUAUAUUUAUCUUUCUCUACGGAUGCUCCAUAGGAUUAGAAAAAGAUAGCUACUUGGUACUUUGACGAUGGUGGUCUUCUAGUUUUAGAUAUACUCCUUGUGGAAUUCAAACCGUGUCGUUGUCUUAUGACUGAGUUCAUGUGAUAGCACCUUCAGCUCCUUUGCCAACAUUGGCAUCCCACAGUAGAAUACCCCUACAAAUUAGCUGAUUUCUUUAAUAUCUCGAUUCUUUGUUUCGUUGCUCUACUAGAUGCAUGAUUAGGGUUUCGUUGCUCUACUAGUCAAGUUUGGAACAAUGCUACUUUUGAAUAAUGUAUGUUUCUUUCGUUGGCAAGAAAAUUUGGUUUUUGUAUUUUUAUUGAGUCUCACUCUCAUCCAAUAUUAUUAAUUUUAAUAAUAUCUUUAAUAUAAAAAAACAAUUAAAAUAGAACAAUAAUGUAGUCCUAGUCUGAGCAAACACCAAAUUGAUGAUAGUACUGUUUUCAUUAUCUUGCUUCUUUGUCCAACAUUGCACCAAACGUUUCACUAAGUUAGUCAACUUAAUCUAGUCCAAUCCAGUCCAGCUUAGUCUCUAAAGCUAAUCCAAUCCGAAACAGUCUGAUACAACAAACAUACCCAUAUAUCUUUCAGCAUCAUUUUUCAGUCUGCAUCCACAUGCCAUGUGUUCUCAAUAAAACAAAGAAUAAAUUAUACAUCUUUCGUCCUAAUAAGUAGGAUGUGAAUGCCAAGGCUUUCAAGAUGGAAAGGAAAGUGAUCAAUACUCCUGUUGUUUAUCAGUCUACAGAUUUUAGGGUUAUUGAUUAAUACUCUGUUGUUUAUCAAUGUCCUGUUAAUUGUUAUUCACCCCCCCUACAGUGACUGCCAUCUUUACAGAAUUGAUAAGCCUAUUGUUUGUCUAUAUAAACCCCACUUGGGCUAACUAAUAUUCAAUCCAAAAUUCAAAUAAAUUAAAAAAUCCCAACAAUUUAGGCUUGAAGGCCCAAUCCCCAACUAUCCCGAAAUCCUCCCAAACAAAUUAGGAAUCCCGAAAUUUCGUUUCGGUUUCGGAUUUUAGAAUCUUGUCCCAAGAAUUAUUGAUUUGGGAUUCAGUUCGAAAUCCCGACCCGAACUAGCCCUAGUGGAACCCAA
rnacentral:lncRNA from 1 species